rnacentral:rRNA from 1 species
GGAUUAGUGGCGAACGGGUGAGUAACACGUGAGUAACCUGCCCUGGACUCUGGGAUAACCCCGAGAAAUCGGAGCUAAUACCGGAUAGGACCUUUCCUCGCAUGAGGUUUGGUGGAAAGUUUUUCGGUCUGGGAUGGACUCGCGGCCUAUCAGCUUGUUGGUGAGGUAAUGGCUCACCAAGGCGUCGACGGGUAGCCGGCCUGAGAGGGUGACCGGCCACACUGGGACUGAGACACGGCCCAGACUCCUACGGGAGGCAGCAGUGGGGAAUAUUGCACAAUGGGCGCAAGCCUGAUGCAGCAACGCCGCGUGCGGGAUGACGGCCUUCGGGUUGUAAACCGCUUUUAGUAGGGAAGAAGGGCUUCGGCUUGACGGUACCUGCAGAAAAAGGACCGGCUAACUACGUGCCAGCAGCCGCGGUAAUACGUAGGGUCCGAGCGUUGUCCGGAAUUAUUGGGCGUAAAGAGCUCGUAGGCGGUUUGUCGCGUCUGCUGUGAAAACUAGAGGCUCAACCUCUAGCCUGCAGUGGGUACGGGCAGACUUGAGUGGUGUAGGGGAGACUGGAAUUCCUGGUGUAGCGGUGGAAUGCGCAGAUAUCAGGAGGAACACCGAUGGCGAAGGCAGGUCUCUGGGCACUUACUGACGCUGAGGAGCGAAAGCGUGGGGAGCGAACAGGAUUAGAUACCCUGGUAGUCCACGCCGUAAACGUUGGGCGCUAGAUGUGGGGACCUUUCCACGGUUUCCGUGUCGUAGCUAACGCAUUAAGCGCCCCGCCUGGGG